UACGGAAGGCAGCAGUGGGGAAUAUUGCACAAUGGGCGCAAGCCUGAUGCAGCCAUGCCGCGUGUAUGAAGAAGGCCUUCGGGUUGUAAAGUACUUUCAGUCGUGAGGAAGGUGUUAAGGUUAAUAACCUUAGCAAUUGACGUUAGCGACAGAAGAAGCACCGGCUAACUCCGUGCCAGCAGCCGCGGUAAUACGGAGGGUGCGAGCGUUAAUCGGAAUUACUGGGCGUAAAGGGCACGCAGGCGGUUAACUAGUUGGAUGUGAAAUCCCCGGGCUUAACCUGGGAAUGGCAUUCAAGACUGGUUAGCUAGAGUCUUGUAGAGGGGGUAGAAUUCCAUGUGUAGCGGUGAAAUGCGUAGAGAUGUGGAGGAAUACCGGUGGCGAAGGCGGCCCCUGGACAAAGACUGACGCUCAUGUGCGAAAGCGUGGGGAGCGAAAC
rnacentral:rRNA from 1 species